AUUACUGGGCGUAAAGCGCAUGCAGGCGGCCUGUUAAGUCAGAUGUGAAAGCCCGGGGCUUAACCUCGGAAUUGCAUUUGAAACUGGCAGGCUAGAGUCUUGUAGAGGGGGGUAGAAUUUCAGGUGUAGCGGUGAAAUGCGUAGAGAUCUGAAGGAAUACCAGUGGCGAAGGCGGCCCCCUGGACAAAGACUGACGCUCAGAUGCGAAAGCGUGGGGAGCAAACAGGAUUAGAUACCCUGGUAGUCCACGCCGUAAACGAUGUCUACUUGGAGGUUGUGGCCUUGAGCCGUGGCUUUCGGAGCUAACGCGUUAAGUAGACCGCCUGGGGAGUACGGUCGCAAGAUUAAAACUCAAAUGAAUUGACGGGGGCCCGCACAAGCGGUGGAGCAUGUGGUUUAAUUCGAUGCAACGCGAAGAACCUUACCUACUCUUGACAUCCAGAGAAGCUUGAAGAGAUUCGAGUGUGCCUUCGGGAACUCUGAGACAGGUGCUGCAUGGCUGUCGUCAG
rnacentral:rRNA from 1 species